AAGUACUAUAUCAAAUAAACUAUUUUAUUUUUACUUCGGAAUAAGUAAUAUUUUGAAUCUGUUUAUGGUAUUAAUACUGCCUAGAUAUAUAUUGUAAUCUGUUUACACUUAUUCUACAUUUUUGUUUUUACAUAAUUUUGUUUAUAUUUAUUUUACUAAAUAAUUACUAAUAGAUAAAGAAGUAUGUGCAGGAUUUAAUUUCAUGACUAAAGAGGACUCCAAAGAAGAAUUAAAGUUCUGGUGGAUCAAAGAUUGAGGAAUGAUUUGAUUUUAACUGCGAAGUACAUAAUAUGAUUUAAAUUGAUGAUUUAGAGUUACACCUAUUGAAAUUCUGUAUCUCAAUGAUAUCCUGGCUUAUCGAUACGAUAUCCUGUAAAUCCACUCACACAUAAAUUUCACUCAGAUACGUAAAUCCUGUAAAUUCACUCACACACAUAAAUCUUAAAAAAGAUGUUUAUAUUUUUAUUUAUAAAUUGUAAAUUUUAUAUAAAUAAAUUGUAUAUUUUUUAUGUUUUUCAUUGUAUAUUACUAUUUGUAUUAAAAAUCGACUUUGGAAAUAUUGCAAGUGCAGAAUUCAACAUA